rnacentral:tRNA from 1 species
GGGGAAUUAGCUCAAUUGGUAGAGCACCUGCUUUGCACGCAGGGGGUUAGCGGUUCGAGUCCGCUAUUCUCCA